AAUACUCCCCCCGUCCUUUCCAGUCUGUGCACCCCGAGCUAAGUGAGGCAGCCGAAAGUUGUGGACACUUAGGCUGCCGCGCGGGGGGUGUGUGUCCGUGUCUGUGUGUCCGUCCCCGCCCUUCCACCCCCUCCCUCGCCCUUCCCCAAAUCUCGGGUCUGACGUCGCGCCCUCUUAUUCGACUUUUCCCCGCGUCUCUUCCCAGAGUCGCCAAUCGCCUGGGCGCCUUACAGGCGAGGCGGCCCACCCCCUCGGAUCCUGCGCGCAGGGCGGGGCGGGGCAGGGGCGGGAGCCCGGGCGCCGCUAGUCCCUGCCCGACCCCUCCUGCCCGCGCGGGGUGGUGGAGCGUGAGGCUUGGGGACCGGAAGGAAAAGAAAAAAACAAUAAUGAGCCUCGGAGAUGCUCCUUCUGCAUUAACCAGCUAUCGACCUGGUUGCAUCGGACAGCGGGAGGCGAGAAAGAGGCCAGGGAAGGGCCUGGCUGUUCUUAGGGACUCAGGCCGGCUGGGGGGCGCCCACAGCUCAGAGGGUGAACCUACAGACCCAGACGCCUACCUAAGAACAUCGCAUAGUUACGUCCCUCCAGGCUCCCCAGGCCUCGAGCAGUAGCGGUCUCCUGGCUACCCUAGUUUCCAGCUGGGAACAGCCUUGAACUGGCUGGGCGAUCUGCGUGUCACGUCGCCUCAGCGUCCCAGGCCGCCCCGUCCCAACGUGGCGUGGUCACCCAACUCGACCGGGCCAGUGGAGCCCGGCUGCGGGCUGAGCUCGAGGGUCCGAAGGCAGCUGAACCUUUUCCAGGGAUUUUUAGUCCAACAGAUUAAAUGGUCAGAGUGACACACUGGCACAAGGAAGAAAAGCAGGUGCACGAAAGUAGAUUUGGGAGUCGCGCUCAAGAACGCGCUUCAGGCAGAAGCUUCUCCAGCUUCUCGCCUUCUUUCAACAUUUCCAGCCCACAAAGCGCUUUGGGGUCUCGCUGCAGGCGCUCUCAGUGAGGCCCCGGGCGCGGGGAGUGUUCGGAGAGGGUAUCUGUCCACCGCAAACGCUUGGCGCCUGUGCGCCGGAUGCGCACCGGGAGCCCCUGCCCGACGUGUGCCUCGGGCCUGCGGCCCGUCAGGCUCCGGGGGCUGCGCCGCGCACUGCACACGAGCCCAGAGUCGCCAGGCCAGCUUUCUGUCCCCUCCUCGUCUAGCCUCAAGGUGCGCAGGCGUCCCCGUCGAGGGGAGCUGCUGCAACCCUGAGUCUCCCAGCCCCGGCCCAUCUUCUAGCCUUCCCACCGAGGCCCGAAGUCCCUGGGCUGCGGUGCCGGCCGGCGAUCCCUGCGCUUCCUGCAGACGCUGCGGCGCGUCUCCCACCGUUCCCUCCCCCUCGCGCUCGGGUUACAGCAGCCGUGGACUCCCGAGAGCGUGGCCUGGCGUCCGCACCGGGUGGAAUUCGUAUUUGGCCAGGAAUCCGGACUCCGAGCAUCCCAGGGGACACGGACCUGGGGCCUCCCGAGCUCUCCGGAGUGUGCUGCCGCUCCCACCAGCCACCAGGGACUCGGAGGCCCUUCCUAGGUCCGGAGAAGCAACGGGGAAACUCAGGGGGAAACUUUGCCAACUUUGCUGUCGGCGCAGGAGAGGCCGCCGGCCCGAAUUGUGCAGCGGCGGUGGCGGGCCGUGACGCGCAGGGUGGACCCCGGGCCAGAGCUGGGCACCCGGGAGCGGGUCGGGAUGCCCGAGGUGGGGCGUGAGGCCGGUGGGCCCUUUGCUCACCGCUCCGCCCCUGCUCCUCCCCCGACCUGGCUCACUCCCCUGCGUCUCUGAGCGGCUCGGGAGGCGCAGCGCCCAGAUGGCCUAGAUGGAUGAAUCUGGCCCUCGGAGGGAAUAAUUUCUUUUCCGUUACCUCUCCAAGAUCAUCUGUUUCCUACCUGACUUGAGCGGUCCCCUCCCCCAUGCCUUUGUUUUUCUCUUCCCCUCCGUCUGUCCUUCCCAUUUCCUCUAUCUUCGAUUUCUAAAUCUUUCCUUCUCUUUCCUCCGCUCCCUCAUUUGUGUUGUUUUUAUGCCUUUGCCCUGGACCACUUUUCAGUUCACUUUUCUCCCUUCUGUUCCCUCCUUCACCCGCUUCUUCUUUUCUCUUCUUCCUGAGUCUGUGACUGUGUCCCUUUACCCCACCCGCAGUUCUUGUUUCUAAUUUUCUUUCUUUCCUCCCCUCUUUCAUCCGGACCCUCUCCUAUUUCCUCCUUGGAUUUCUUGUUCUGUUUCUCAGGUUUUCUUCUCUGUAAAUAUUCUCUCUUCUUCUCUCCCUCUCCGGGAUCCGUACCCCACCCCCCCCCGCGCCCCCUUGGAUCCGCCUCCCCGGCGCCCCCUCCUCAUUCAUCCUGGGAGAUGAAUUUGUCGCCUUAUUGGACGCCGAGGCCAGAGCCGUGUGAGGGGGUUCGGCCAGCGUUGCGCACUUUCUUCAUGCAUAUUGAGGAGAUGGUAAUGAGCGCGUUUGCAUUGUUGCUUGGAAAUUUUGUGUUUCCUGCCGCAGUUCGCAAUUCGGAAUGGGCGAGGGUGGUGCGGGCCCAGGACCUCGGUAGGCGCCCGGCCUGGCGGCCGCCGCUGACCCCCUCUGGAUUCCCGGGCUCUCGGGGCCGGGGGAGGAAGCGACCUUGCCGAGCUCCUGACCGGCCGCCACCUCCUCCUUGGGUUUCUCGACAAAGGCCGGCGCGCUCCCCUCAUUAAAGCCUCGUUACUGGAACCCCCGGCUGGCUCGCGACGGCUCCUCCGAGCCCCCUGCUCACCGGCCUCUGAGCCCCUCCCCCGAUGUUGAGAGGCCUGUGAUGGAGCGCCACCAGAAAAUUGGUGGCUGACAACGUCGUCUAUUGGCAAUAAAUUGUUUGCGAUUCCGAGUGACA
rnacentral:lncRNA from 13 species